rnacentral:misc_RNA from 1 species
AAGAAACAGGCAAAGGUUCUUACCAGCACUCCAAAUGACUCAUUAUCUAUCACGGUAAAAGAAAAUUAGGUCGUCCAAAAUGAAAAAGAAAGCAAAACAGCCGCCUGGAGCAAGAGAGAAAGGUAAGGAAAAGAAAAAAAAAAAAAAAAAAAAAGGGGGAAAAGGACCAUUCACUCCAUGGUUUUCAGAAGCCUAAACAAGCCAGCUGCUUCCCUAAUUCGUGAAAACUCGAUACAAAAGGCUUGGACUUCAAUGUAGAGAUCCUUAACAUCAAUAAUUUUAUUCCGAAUCAAACUCUGCAGGAAAACACAAACAAGUCUGACAAGCCUGUUCUGCAUGUAUUUAUCCUUAAUAUUUUCACAGGAUGAAAUACAAUUCGUUAUGUACAUGCGUACAAAUGCCUUUGGCAGUUCAACUGCUGUUGUAAGCCUGUUAACGACUUCCAUUGAAUGCAGACUCAUGUCCAUAUUGACAAGUACCGUAAAAUAGUCGGCAAUUUCAGGAGAAUUUAUCAACUUAGUAAGAACUUCAACUGCAAUUAGGGGAUUGUUCUCCACGAGUUCAGGCAACUUCCUUGGCGUCAAUCCACAGUGAUAUACAAGCUUCGGGUCAUUUGCCAACUCCACCAGGACUUGCUCUUGCUGUGCAGGAGCCAGUGGUCCCUUCAAAGCUUUUGUAAUCAAGUCCCUUACAGCUGCACCCUUGCUUGUAUCCGCACACAUACCAUGAUCCCACAUAAGCUCAUGAUUGUUGUCAGGAUUGAUCCACACUAGCUCACCAUCUUGUAUUGGCAACAUUGGUGGAUGAGGCCUGAUCCACUGAGGACCUAAUCCCUCUAGUGACAAGUGCGCCAACAACUCAGUGAGAGUCUCGUCUCGAUCUCCAGAUCCAAUUUUAGGUUUGGCUCCAGGUUGCAAAUCAAACUCUUGCGAAUUUGCAUCACAGCUUUGGGGUACAUCAGGAUCCGGCACUACAUUUUUCACUGCAGCAUUUUUAAAAAAGCAAUUAUAAGGUUCCGAAUGGACUUUAUCACAGUAUUGUUCCUGCAACUGUUCACAUUGUGGAAAAGCAUGGGCCGAAGAAUCAAAGAGUUUGAUGUAAUUUGCAGCAGACUGUUCAAGAAACUCUUUGCCACCAUUAGAGCCUCCAGAGACUAACAACUGAAGAAUAAAUGCCCUCUCACAUUUUUCAGCCUCAUCAUCACAUGCUGCAUUAACAAUAUAAGAUAUGAAUGGGUUCACAGAAUUCGGCAGGGACGAAUAAGCCUGGUGAAGAAUAGCAAAUGCAAUUAAACGUUCAGUAGCUUUGAGCAUCCUUCUAUCCUCUAAGAGGAGUAAGAGAGAAUUGCAGACAGCAAAAUAGCGAGGGCGGCCAAGUUUCGAGCUGAAUUCUGCCAAGAUUUCAUCUAUUGGCCGUUGCUCCGAUGUUAGCAACGCGUGCACCACAUUCGAUUCUUCAAAGCUCAAAGCCACAUAUUUAUUUUUUUUUUUUUAAUCGUUACCUUUAUAAUUAUUUCAAUAAGUUACAGUAGAACCAUAGGAGAAAGGAUAUUGAGAUGGACAAUCACUCGUAGUUAGAGAAUCAUAAACG